rnacentral:rRNA from 1 species
GGUAUCCUGUCUGAAUAUGGGGGGACCAUCCUCCAAGGCUAAAUACUCCUGACUGACCGAUAGUGAACCAGUACCGUGAGGGAAAGGCGAAAAGAACCCCGGCGAGGGGAGUGAAAAAGAACCUGAAACCGUGUACGUACAAGCAGUGGGAGCCUCUUUUAUGGGGUGACUGCGUACCUUUUGUAUAAUGGGUCAGCGACUUAUAUUCUGUAGCAAGGUUAACCGAAUAGGGGAGCCGAAGGGAAACCGAGUCUUAACUGGGCGUUAAGUUGCAGGGUAUAGACCCGAAACCCGGUGAUCUAGCCAUGGGCAGGUUGAAGGUUGGGUAACACUAACUGGAGGACCGAACCGACUAAUGUUGAAAAAUUAGCGGAUGACUUGUGGCUGGGGGUGAAAGGCCAAUCAAACCGGGAGAUAGCUGGUUCUCCCCGAAAGCUAUUUAGGUAGCGCCUCGUGAAUUCAUCUCCGGGGGUAGAGCACUGUUUCGGCAAGGGGGUCAUCCCGACUUACCAACCCGAUGCAAACUGCGAAUACCGGAGAAUGUUAUCACGGGAGACACACGGCGGGUGCUAACGUCCGUCGUGAAGAGGGAAACAACCCAGACCGCCAGCUAAGGUCCCAAAGUCAUGGUUAAGUGGGAAACGAUGUGGGAAGGCCCAGACAGCCAGGAUGUUGGCUUAGAAGCAGCCAUCAUUUAAAGAAAGCGUAAUAGCUCACUGGUCGAGUCGGCCUGCGCGGAAGAUGUAACGGGGCUAAACCAUGCACCGAAGCUGCGGCAGCGACGCUUAUGCGUUGUUGGGUAGGGGAGCGUUCUGUAAGCCUGUGAAGGUGUGCUGUGAGGCAUGCUGGAGGUAUCAGAAGUGCGAAUGCUGACAUAAGUAACGAUAAAGCGGGUGAAAAGCCCGCUCGCCGGAAGACCAAGGGUUCCUGUCCAACGUUAAUCGGGGCAGGGUGAGUCGACCCCUAAGGCGAGGCCGAAAGGCGUAGUCGAUGGGAAACAGGUUAAUAUUCCUGUACUUGGUGUUACUGCGAAGGGGGGACGGAGAAGGCUAUGUUGGCCGGGCGACGGUUGUCCCGGUUUAAGCGUGUAGGCUGGUUUUCCAGGCAAAUCCGGAAAAUCAAGGCUGAGGCG